GCCGGGCAUGGUGGCGCAUGCCUGUAAUCCCAGCUACUUGGGAGGCUGAGGCAGGAGAAUUGCUUGAACCGAGAAGGCGGAGGUUGCGGUGAGCCAAGAUUGCACCAUUGCACUCCAGCCUGGGCAACAAGAGCGAAACUCCGUCUCAAAAAAAAAAGGAAGAAAAAUAUUUUUUUAAAUUAAUUAGUUUAUUUAUUUUUUAAGAUGGAGUUUUGCCCUGUCACCCAGGCUGGGGUGCAAUGGUGCAAUCUCGGCUCACUGCAACCUCCGCC
rnacentral:lncRNA from 1 species